ACUAGCGGCGAGUGAAGCGGCAACAGCUCAAAUUUGAAAUCUGGUCCCCAGGGCCCGAGUUGUAAUUUGUAGAGGAUGCUUUUGGCGAGGCGCCUUCCGAGUUCCCUGGAACGGGACGCCACAGAGGGUGAGAGCCCCGUCUGGUCGGAUGCCAAGCCUAUGUAAAGCUCCUUCGACGAGUCGAGUAGUUUGGGAAUGCUGCUCAAAAUGGGAGGUAUAUGUCUUCUAAAGCUAAAUACCGGCCAGAGACCGAUAGCGCACAAGUAGAGUGAUCGAAAGAUGAAAAGCACUUUGAAAAGAGGGUUAAAAAGUACGUGAAAUUGUUGAAAGGGAAGCGCCUAUGACCAGACUUGGGCCCGGUGAAUCAUCCAGCGUUCUCGCUGGUGCACUUUGCCGGGCACAGGCCAGCAUCAGUUUGGCGCGGGGGACAAAGGCUUCGGGAAUGUGGCUCCCCUCGGGGAGUGUUAUAGCCCGUUGCGCAAUACCCUGCGCCGGACUGAGGUACGCGCUCCGCAAGGAUGCUGGCGUAAUGGUCAUCACGACUAC
rnacentral:rRNA from 1 species